rnacentral:rRNA from 1 species
AUGAACGCUGGCGGUAUGCUUAACACCUGCAAGUCGAACGGACUCUUCGGAGUUAGUGGCGGACGGGUGAGUCACGCGUGAGAAUCUGGCUUUGGGUUCGGGACAACCACUGGAAACGGUGGCUAAUACCGGAUGUGCCGAGAGGUAAAAGAGAAAUUGCCUGAAGAUGAGCUCGCGUCUGAUUAGCUAGUUGGUGAGGUAAAGGCUCACCAAGGCAGCGAUCAGUAGCUGGUCUGAGAGGAUGACCAGCCACACUGGGACUGAGACACGGCCCAGACUCCUACGGGAGGCAGCAGUGGGGAAUUUUCCGCAAUGGGCGAAAGCCUGACGGAGCAAUACCGCGUGAGGGAAGAAGGCUCUUGGGUUGUAAACCUCUUUUCUUAGGGAAGAACAAAAUGACGGUACCUAAGGAAUCAGCAUCGGCUAACUCCGUG